ACACAUCUCCGCUAUGUCAAAAUUCUCCUCUGGCGCGCAUCCCUUUCAUCAGUAUUCAAGAUCUGUGAGCAAAAGCAAUAGAUUUUACUAGAAAAUAAAAGAUAAAAAGAUAUGAAAACGAAAGAAGAAACAAACCAAGGAGGAGGAGGCGAGGUCAUGGUAAUGGUGGCUUCCUGACUUGAGCAGAGGUGGUGAGAUUGAACCCGUGACGACAGACGGCGAGUUUGAGAGAUCCUGAGAUGAGGAUUGAAUAGGCGAUGAGAGAGGAGGACUGCAGAGGUGAUGGGAGAAUAUGAAUGAGGGAGGAGGAUUUCUGAUGAGUUAUCAGUGAGCAAGAAGAUUGAAGAGAUUGG
rnacentral:lncRNA from 1 species